GGGCCGUUAGCUCAGGGGAAGAGCACCUGACUUUUAAUCAGGGUGUCGCGGGUUCGAAUCCCGCACGGCUCACCA
rnacentral:tRNA from 1 species